rnacentral:rRNA from 1 species
UUAGUGGCGGACGGGUGAGUAACGCGUGAACAACCUGACCGGAAAGAGGGGGAUAACAACGAGAAAUCGUUGCUAAUACCGCAUAAGACCACGACCCGGCAUCGGGAUGAGGUCAAAGGAGCAAUCCGCUUUAGGAGGGGUUCGCGUCCCAUUAGAUAGUAGGCGGGGUAAAGGCCCACCUAGUCAGCGAUGGGUAGCCGAGCUGAGAGGCUGAACGGCCACACUGGAACUGAGACACGGUCCAGACUCCUACGGGAGGCAGCAGUGGGGAAUAUUGGGCAAUGGGCGAAAGCCUGACCCAGCAACGCCGCGUGAGGGAAGAAGGUUUUCGGAUUGUAAACCUCUGUCGCAGAUGACGAAGGAAGUGACGGUAAUCUGUGAGGAAGCCCCGGCUAACUACGUGCCAGCAGCCGCGGUAAUACGUAGGGGGCGAGCGUUGUCCGGAAUUACUGGGCGUAAAGCGCACGCAGGCUGAUUGACAAGUCUGAUGGAAAAGGCUGCGGCUCAACUGCAGUUACACGUUAGAUACUGUCAGUCUAGAGUAUGUGAGAGGGGAAGUGGAAUUCCCGGUGUAGCGGUGAAAUGCGUAGAUAUCGGGAGGAACACCAGUGGCGAAAGCGGCUUCCUGGCACAAGACUGACGCUCAUGUGCGAAAGCUAGGGGAGCGAACGGGAUUAGAUACCCCGGUAGUCCUAGCCGUAAACGAUGGAUACUAGGUGUGGGGGAAGCAGUUCCUCCGUGCCGGAGUUAACGCGAUAAGUAUCCCGCCUGGGAACUACGGCCGCAAGGCUGAAACUCAAAGGAAUUGACGGGGGCCCGCACAAGCGGUGGAGCACGUGGUUUAAUUCGAUGCAAACCGAAGAACCUUACCUGGGUUUGACAUACAAGUGGUAGAGAAGCGAAAGUGGAUCGACCUUGUAGCAAUACAAGGAGCUUGAACAGGUGCUGCAUGGUUGUCGUCAGCUCGUGUCGUGAGAUGUUGGGUUAAGUCCCGCAACGAGCGCAACCCCUAUAGCCAGUUGCUAACAGGAGAGCUGAGCACUCUGGCGAGACUGCCGCCGACAAGGCGGAGGAAGGUGGGGACGACGUCAAAUCAUCAUGGCCUAUAUGCCCAGGGCGACACACGUGCUACAAUGGCCGGCACAGACGGCAGCUUGCCCGCGAGGGUUGGCGAAUCCUCAAAAGCCGGUCCCAGUUCGGACUGCAGUCUGCAACUCGACUGCACGAAGCCGGAAUCGCUAGUAAUCGCAGAUCAGCCAAGCUGCGGUGAAUACGUUCCCGGGCC